GUGGGCGGAGCCACAAUCUCCGGCGGAGGCUGGGUGUCGCCUGACCGGAUGAUGACAGAAGUUUUCGGUUUAAUGUGGCUACUUUUAUCAUGCAAUCAUCCAGCUAAUGUCGUCUCCAGUGCUCUGACCGCAGUCGGGACUCAUGACUCCAAUCUGCUGUGUGUUUUAAUGAAAUAAACUCACAGACACUGUGACACACUGCGGUGCCAUCUGGGAACUUUUGCUGUGCUGGAAGAGCGACCCUUUGGCUCUUAUUUGACCGGGGAGCAGAGCCGGAUAGAGCCCGCUGGGCUGACCGAGGUGCCGCUAUGGGAAACCGGGGGAUGGAAGACCUUAUUCCCCUCAUAAACAAGCUCCAGGACGCCUUCAGCUCCAUCGGACAGACGUGCAACUUGGACCUGCCGCAGAUAGCGGUUGUCGGCGGCCAGAGCGCAGGGAAGAGCUCCGUGUUGGAGAAUUUCGUCGGGAGGGACUUCUUGCCCAGAGGAUCUGGCAUCGUCACCCGUCGUCCUCUCAUCCUCCAGCUGGUUAACAGUAAAGCAGAGUAUGCCGAGUUCCUGCACUGUAAGGGACGCAAGUUUGUGGACUUUGAUGAGGUGCGUCUGGAGAUUGAAGCAGAAACUGACCGGAUCACGGGAUCCAACAAGGGCAUCUCUGCCAUCCCCAUCAACCUCCGCGUCUACUCCCCUAACGUGCUGAACCUGACCCUGAUCGACCUGCCGGGGAUGACUAAAGUGGCCGUGGGAGACCAGCCUCCAGACAUCGAGCACCAGAUCAGGGACAUGCUGCUGCAGUUCAUCACCAAGGAAAGCUGUCUGAUCCUGGCCGUCACCCCAGCCAACACUGACCUGGCUAACUCCGAUGCCCUCAAGAUUGCUAAGGAGGUGGACCCUCAGGGCCUACGGACCAUUGGUGUGAUCACCAAACUGGACCUGAUGGAUGAGGGGACGGAUGCCCGAGACAUUCUGGAAAAUAAACUACUGCCGCUUCGCCGAGGCUACAUCGGGGUGGUGAACCGCAGUCAAAAGGACAUCGAUGGAAAGAAAGACAUCCGUGCUGCUUUGGCUGCUGAGAGGAAGUUCUUCCUGUCCCACCCGGCGUACAGACACAUUGCAGAACGCAUGGGCACACCACAUCUGCAGAAGACCCUCAAUCAGCAACUUACCAACCACAUCCGCGACACGUUGCCCGGGUUACGCAGUAAGCUGCAAAGCCAGCUGUUAUCACUGGAGAAAGAGGUGGACGAGUACAAGAACUUCCGCCCUGAUGACCCUACACGCAAGACAAAGGCCUUGCUCCAGAUGGUGCAGCAGUUUGGCGUUGACUUUGAGAAGUGCAUCGAGGGGUCUGGGGAUCAGGUGGACACCUCCAACUUGUCAGGUGGAGCAAAGAUCAAUCGCAUCUUCCACGAGCGGUUUCCAUUUGAGCUGGUGAAGAUGGAGUUUGAUGAGAAGGAGCUGAGGAAAGAGAUCAGUUACGCCAUCAAGAACAUCCACGGAGUCAGGACAGGCCUGUUCACCCCAGACCUGGCGUUUGAGGCCAUAGUGAAAAAGCAGAUCAUUAAGCUGAAAGAGCCCUGUCUGAAAUGCAUCGACCUGGUCAUCCAGGAGCUCAUCAACACAGUCAGACAGUGCACUAAUAAGCUGGGUUCGUACCCUCGGCUGAGAGAAGAGACGGAGCGAAUUGUCACCACCUACGUCAGGGAGAGAGACAGCAAGACGAAAGACCAGGUGCUGCUGUUGAUUGACAUUGAGCUCUCCUACAUCAACACUAACCAUGAGGACUUCAUUGGAUUUGCCAAUGCUCAGCAAAGAACCGCUGCCAACGCCACCAAGAAGAGAGUCAUGCCCAAUCAGGUGAUCCGCAGAGGCUGGCUCACCAUCAACAUCAGUAUCAUGAAGGGAGGAUCCAAGGACUACUGGUUUGUCCUGACCGCUGAGUCUCUGUCCUGGUACAAAGAUGAGGAGGAGAAAGAGAAGAAGUACAUGCUGCCUCUCGAUAACCUGAAACUGAGAGAUGUGGAGAAGGGCUUCAUGUCCAGCAAGCACGUCUUUGCCAUCUUCAACACGGAGCAGAGGAAUGUGUAUAAAGACCUGCGUCAGAUUGAGCUGGCAUGUGACACUCAGGAGGAUGUAGACAGCUGGAAGGCUUCCUUCCUCAGAGCUGGUGUUUACCCAGAGAAAGACCAGGUUGAGAGCGAAGACGCGAUGAAUCCUAGCGACACCGUGUCCAUGGACCCACAGCUGGAGCGGCAGGUGGAGACCAUCCGCAACCUCGUGGACUCGUACAUCGGUAUCGUCAACAAGUCCAUCAGAGACCUCAUGCCCAAGACCAUCAUGCACCUCAUGAUCAACAGUGCGAAGGACUUCAUCCACUCUGAGCUGCUGGCCUACCUGUACUCGGCCGGGGACCAGGGCAGCUUGAUGGAGGAGUCAGCAGAGCAGGCACAGAGGAGAGAUGAGAUGCUGAGGAUGUAUCAUGCUUUGAAAGAGGCCCUGGUCCUCAUCGGAGACAUCAGCACCACCACUGUUUCCACCCCAGUGCCUCCACCAGUAGACGACACCUGGAUCAAGGAACCAAGUCCACCAACGUCCCGCCCUGCCUCGGCAACAGCGCCCCCUCCCAGCCGACCCCCGGCAGUGAGGGGGCCCACCCCGGGUCCUCCGCCCCCUCUCAACCCUUCACCAGCGUUCGGAGCGCCGCCGGUACCGUCUCGACCCCCGGGCCAAACAGCCUACGCAGGCGAUCCCAACUCUGGUUCUGUGCCUCUUGUUCCUUCCAGGCCGGCCCGCGUGCCUCCUGCACUGCCACCAGGGAUUCCAAGAAGACCCCCGGCUGCUCCCAACCGACCCACUGUCAUACGUCCAUCAGAGCCCUCCCUGCUUGACUAGAAACACACACAUACACAUACACAUAUUAAAACAUUACUUUUUGUUUACACUUUUAUAUUUCUCUUCUCUUUUCUCAUGUAUAUUCCUAUAACUGCAAACUUUGUCCUACUGUAAUUGGUAAUCUGAUGCUGUUUCAGUCUGUGCAUUUCAGAAGCAUUAUGUAUGUAAUUUUGACUUAAUGUGUAGUUAGUGUUAUUUUUUUAACAAAGAUAUGAGAGAUUUUCUGCAUUCUGUGUUAUGAAAAGGGAUAAAUUUGAUGAUUUUAUUGAUUUAAGGUUAUGAACCAGCAGGUCAUCUCGAAUAUUUUGAAAUGAAAUGUGUCUUAAAACAAUAUAUACGACUCUUAACGUUUAUAUAAUGGUAAGAAAACUCUUAGAUUUUGUUUUUUUGUGAGAUGAAUACUUGCUAACAUUUGUCCGUGAUCUUACACACUAAGCACCUCAUUAAGUAAGCAGCACUUUCUGAUUAAGUCUUUUUCUUUUCUUCAUUGGUAGAUUUUCAAAGCCUCCAGAUGAGCUUAUUAAAAUCAGACUGACCAAUGAAAUUUGUAUUCUUCAGUAUUUCGGCUAAUUACUUUUAUUACAAGAUUUUUCGAGCAUAAUACAGUUUCUGUGUUUCUUUAUUUGUGGACCAAUUAAAGCUGAGACAGAGGAGGAGGAAGGGUGUUGGAAGAAAGCGCAGCAGUGGGCGUGCGGCGUCUUCCAGUGUAUUACUGAUAAUUAUACAGUAGUUGAGGUGACCUUGCCCGGUGAAACGUCCUGACAGUUACCUCCCACCACUUCUCAUUCUUCAGUGCCUUGAGAAAAAAUUAUUUUGUAGUUACUUCUUAUCACCUUAAAAAAGUCGUAAUGAGAAAAAACGGAUCAUGAAAGGACAAAGGUGUAUAAAGUGAUGGACUGAAUAAAGGACUAGAAAACGAAGAUGUGCUGGCUGGUGCUUGUUUUUGCUGUUAGACAUUUUUUUGCCUCAUUUCUUGUCUUAACUGCACUACCGAGCCUUUCUUUGUCUGCUAUGUUGUUGUUUGAUCUGCCGUUUCCAUACACAUGACAGUAAACAUGUAGGACAUGUACUUCCUGUCACUGUAUGAUAGCGUCAGCGCACAGCUCACUGAGUAUUAUGUACACAACAGAGUUCGGGUCACCUCUUGACUCGCUCAGUAGUCAAAUGGAGACGGCCAUGCAGAACAAGAACAUUUCACUUUUCUGUGUGCAGUCUGGCAUGACCUCCCUUCCUUCCUACCUUGCUGUAUGAUGGAGCUGUGGGUUGCCGUAGCAACCGUGGUUGCCAGUAGCAACACAGUAAAGACAGUGUUACUCAAUGCUUUUUGGGCUGUUCAUAGAGUCAAGCAGGGAUGAAUAAAGGCGACCUCCGCAUGUCCCCUCUCGUCCCAACCACUGGUGACGGAAAGUCAAAUGUGGAGCACUCCAACUUGUAGCCACGCGACGGGCUCAGUCAGCAUGAGCUGGAAGAGUCCGGCUUUAUGUCCUGAUUCUGAAACUGUUGUUUUUUAUAAGACAUUGUAGGAUGCAGAGUAACGACAAAGGCUGUGGCUGGAUCAAAGCUGACAUCCUGCUUCGGUCCACAACCUAAGAAUGAUCCUACUGCAAAUAAAUAAAUAGUGAUAACCUCUGUACAUACAGGAAUGUUAUUGAGCUUAUAUGGUGUUUCCAAUAUUAAAUAUAUACUAUAGAGAAAUGAUAAUCUGUUUUUCUCUGCAUGUAAGUACUACUGAAAUACUUUAUCUCAUGAUGUUUUUUCAGUUGAAAUGUGUGCCAAAUUUUAGGAUGGAUGGGUCAACUAGGAUAUGGGAGAAAAACCUGUGUGUGCCAAAUUGAAACAUCAAGAAAUUUUAUCUUGAAGCAAACUUGGCAGAAAGCACAGCACAUGCAGUAUGUUGUUAUUUCUUCCUUCAUGACUAAAGAAUAAAGUAAUUUACAAUCCUCAU